AGCAGCAUGGCGCAGUUGGAAGCGCGCGGGGCCCAUAUCGGAGGAUACUCAGAGCAAAAAUUCGCAUAUCCAACCCCGAGGUCACUUGAUCGAAACAAGUUGCUGCUA